GCAUAUCAAUAAGCGGAGGAAAAGAAACUAACAAGGAUUCCCUUAGUAACGGCGAGUGAAGCGGGAAGAGCUCAAAUUUGAAAUCUUCAAGGUUCUACCUUGACGAAUUGUAGUUUAAAGAAGUGUUUUCUGUUAGUGGAGUGGCAAAAGUUCUUUGGAAUAGGACAUCAUAGAGGGUGAGAAUCCCGUAUUUGGUCAUUCCUUCUAGCUUUGUGAUACACUUUCAAAGAGUCGGAUUGUUUGGGAAUGCAGUCCAAAAUGGGUGGUAAAUUUCAUCUAAAGCUAAAUAUUGGCGAGAGACCGAUAGCGAACAAGUACCGUGAGGGAAAGAUGAAAAGAACUUUGAAAAGAGAGUUAAACAGUACGUGAAAUUGUAAAAGGGAAGCGUUUGACACCAGUGUUGUUUUUCCGAAAAUCAAUUAUAGAGGUUUUGUUUUUGAGGAGUGAUGACUUCAUCGGCUUCCUUCUCUCUUCACGAAACUUUUGUAAUGCACUUUUCGGUUAACAAGUCAACAUCAAUUUCUUUUGUUGUAAAAGGGUAUUCGGAAGGUGGCUUUCUUUUCGGAGAAAGUGUUUAUAGCCCUAUACCUCUACAAUCGGAGAGAUUGAGGUCUGCAGCGUAGAUCCUUCGGGGUUAGAUACAUUUGUGCUAAGUUAUAGCUUUGUAUAGACAACUUGUUGACUAUGCUUAGUCUUGUAGCUUACUCGCUUAUGCUAUUUUACCUACGCUUAGGAUGUUGACAAAAUGGUUUUAAACGACCCGUCUUGAAACACGGACC
rnacentral:rRNA from 1 species